rnacentral:rRNA from 1 species
GACGUAGGGGGCAAGCGUUGUCCGGAAUUAUUGGGCGUAAAGCGCUCGUAGGCGGAUCGGUAAGUCUGUGAAGAAAGACCCGGGCUCAACUCGGGGAACGGCAUAGAUACUGCUGAUCUUGAGACAGUCAGAGGAUGAUGGAAUUCCUGGUGUAGCGGUGAAAUGCGCAGAUAUCAGGAAGAACACCCGUGGCGAAGGCGGCUCUCUGGAACGCAACUGACGCUGAGACGCGAAAGCGUGGGGAGCAAACAGG